GAGAGAUUAGCUUAAUAGUAGAGUAAUUGUUUUAUAUAUAAAAGGUUAGGUAUUUAAAUUACCUAUUUCUUA
rnacentral:tRNA from 1 species